UCCCUCUGUGGAAGCCUUGAAGGAGGCUCCAUUUCAGUUUUCCUGUCUGCACAGCUUUGAUGUCACUCCCUUGGGCUGUCACUUAGAGCUGCGCCCUCAGAGCAGAGCUGGGUGGGGAGGAGCUGUUCUGCACAUCCAUGCACCUGCCACAGCCUGGAGGGGUUUUUCCUUUCCUUUAGAGUGAAAGAGUUACAGCUAUAAACUCUGCACCUCCUGCAGGUGCCUUUAAGAUGGCACUAAAGAGGUGAUGUCUAGAUUACAAUUUCCCUCUGCACUGUGAUAGGUGUUUUCAGUUGAUUUUGUUAUUAUGAUGUCUAGAUUACAAUUUCUCUCUGCACUGUGAUAGGUGUUUUCAGUGGAUUUUGUUAUGAUGUCUAGAUUACAAUUUCUCUCUGCACUGUGAUAGGUGUUUUCAGUUGAUUUUGUUAGAUGUCUAGAUUACAAUUCCCUCUGCACUAUGAUGGGUGUUUUCAGGUAAUUUUGUUGUUUUGAUGUCUAGAUUACAAUUUCCCUCUGCACUAUGAUGGGUGUUUUCAGUGGAUUUUGUUAUGAUGUCUAGAUUACAAUUUCUCUCUGCACUGUGAUAGGUGUUUUCAGUUGACUUUGUUGUUAUUUCUGGUGAAAACUGAGGUGACUUUUUUUAUAUUACAUGAUAUGAAACAACCCAUCAGAAACAGUUCUGGAUUCAGCUUGAGAAAGUUGGACAGAACUUCUGCUUGGGGAUUUAGAAUGGAUUUAUGACGUGGAAGGUUUGACCAGAGUAGAACAGAAUCCUGCAGGAUUUGCAGGGAGAACCAAAUCCUGCAGAUUUUGCAGGCUGCAGCUGCUUGGGCUCCUGAUUUCUCUUACCUCUUGCCAGAAAAAAUGCCU